rnacentral:rRNA from 1 species
GUGGGGAAUUUUGGACAAUGGGCGCAAGCCUGAUCCAGCAAUGCCGCGUGCAGGAAGAAGGCCUUCGGGUUGUAAACUGCUUUUGUACGGAACGAAACGGUCCUGGUUAAUACCCUGGGCUAAUGACGGUACCGUAAGAAUAAGCACCGGCUAACUACGUGCCAGCAGCCGCGGUAAUACGUAGGGUGCAAGCGUUAAUCGGAAUUACUGGGCGUAAAGCGUGCGCAGGCGGGUUUGUAAGACAGGCGUGAAAUCCCCGGGCUCAACCUGGGAAUUGCGCUUGUGACUGCAAGGCUGGAGUGCGGCAGAGGGGGAUGGAAUUCCGCGUGUAGCAGUGAAAUGCGUAGAUAUGCGGAGGAACACCGAUGGCGAAGGCAAUCCCCUGGGCCUGCACUGACGCUCAUGCACGAAAGCGUGGGGAGCAAACAGGAUUAGAAACCCCAGUAGUCC